CAGAGGGGGCAAGCGUUGUUCGGAAUUACUGGGCGUAAAGGGCGCGUAGGCGGCCUGCUAAGUCGAACGUGAAAUCCCCGGGCUCAACCCGGGAACUGCGUUCGAUACUGGUUGGCUUGAAUUCGGGAGAGGGAUGCGGAAUUCCAGGUGUAGCGGUGAAAUGCGUAGAUAUCUGGAGGAACACCGGUGGCGAAGGCGGCAUCCUGGACCGACAUUGACGCUGAGGCGCGAAAGCCAGGGGAGCAAACGGGAUUAGAUACCCCGGUAGUCCUGGCCCUAAACGAUGAAUGCUUGGUGUGGCGGGUAUCGAUCCCUGCUGUGCCGAAGCUAACGCAUUAAGCAUUCCGCCUGGGGAGUACGGUCGCAAGGCUG
rnacentral:rRNA from 1 species